UAAUACGGAGGAUCCGAGCGUUAUCCGGAUUUAUUGGGUUUAAAGGGUGCGCAGGCGGGUUAUUAAGUCGGUGGUGAAAAUCCGGGGCUCAACCCCGGGCUUGCCAUCGAAACUGGUUACCUUGAGUGUGGGUGGGGCAGGCGGAAUUCGUGGUGUAGCGGUGAAAUGCAUAGAUAUCACGAGGAACUCCUAUCGCGUAGGCAGCUUGCCAUUCCAUAACUGACGCUCAUGCACGAAGGCGUGGGGAUCAAACAGGAUUAGAUACCCUGGUAGUCCACGCGGUAAACGAUGAUUACUGGUUGUUCGCGAUACACUGUGAGCGACUGAGCGAAAGCGUUAAGUAAUCCACCUGGGGAGUACGUUCGC
rnacentral:rRNA from 1 species